rnacentral:rRNA from 1 species
GACGAACGCUGGCGGUGUGCUUAACACAUGCAAGUCGAACGGUAAGGCCCUUUCGGGGGUACACGAGUGGCGAACGGGUGAGUAACACGUGAGUAACCUGCCCUCAUCUCUGGGAUAACAGUCGGAAACGGUUGCUAAUACUGGAUAUGAGCUUGCAAGGCACCUUGUGGGUUGGAAAGAUUUUUUUUGGUUGGGGAUGGACUCGCGGCCUAUCAGCUUGUUGGUGAGGUAGUGGCUCACCAAGGCUUCGACGGGUAGCCGGCCUGAGAGGGCGACCGGCCACAUUGGGACUGAGAUACGGCCCAAACUCCUACGGGAGGCAGCAGUGGGGAAUAUUGCACAAUGGACGGAAGUCUGAUGCAGCAACGCCGCGUGCGGGAUGACGGCCUUCGGGUUGUAAACCGCUUUCAAUUGUGACGAAGCUUUUUUGUGACGGUAGCAGUAGAAGAAGCACCGGCUAACUACGUG